rnacentral:misc_RNA from 1 species
UGGGAUUUGGAGCAAGAAGAUGUCGGAGCACCUGGAGUCAGGGUCGUUGUACAGAGAGCAGUCAGUCGGAACCGAAAGAAGGCAUUGGGUGCAGGAGCGGGAAGAUGAGAAGCACUAUCACAACCUGGAAGGUGAGGACUACUCCAGUCUGGAGUGGAUACUCAUCUUCAUAGGCAUGGGACUGGCGAUCGUGGUCGUCGUGUUGUCGAUCAGGUUCGUGACAUGAAGCGCACCAUCCCACGCAUCCCACCGCCUGCGGCGUCCCCUCUGUUCUCCCGACCGGACGGUGAGAUACCAGACCUACCGGUCGACCUGACCACCAUCUCGGACGACUACCUGAUGGAGUUGUUCUCGGUCUACACCGCCUGGCAGAACUUCGCCGCCACCGAGCAGGCCGACGCCGAGGUGGAAGAGUCCAAGGCAGAUGCCAAGGUCCGCUUCGUGGAGGCCCAGGCGAUGGUGAGGGACUGGGGCGGUGCCAAGGACAAGGUCACCGUCGCCAAGGCAGAGAUGACCAACGACCCCGAGGUACAGGGGGCGCGGGACGGUGCGCUCGGAGCGUACGCUCGGCGCAAGAUGACACAGGUGGUCUACGCCAACUGCGAGCGCUGUGUCUUCGUGAUCAGCCGGGAACUCUCCCGGCGCAUCGGCAACGUUGGAUACGAGAGAAGGGCAUCGAGAUGGAAUCCGUAGACCCCGACAAGUACAUCGUCUUCAAGCGGGAGGACCUGAUGCAGUUCAUCGGCAGUUGGGCAGCCGCUCAGACCGAUGCCGACACGGACAUGUUCCUGACGGGGGUUCACAUGCGUGAGCUUUCCGAUGCCGUUGUGAUACGACGGCAGGACUUGUUCGCCGGUCCGGCGCUGCACACCUACUCCAACGCCAUGGCGAUGGCUGCCCGCAUGGGGGCCGAGGGUGACGAGCAGAAGCGCCUGCUCGGCAUCGCUGACUACUUCCAUGAGCAGGCCGUGCUGUCUGACGCUGAGGCUU